rnacentral:sRNA from 1 species
UCAGCGAUGAUCCAAUGGCCAUACACAGGACGCGAAGGAAGUUCUGCAAUCCCGAUCCGCCGGCGAUACGGUCAGGGGGUAGAUCGGAGACACCCAGGGAAGUUAGGGUGAUAACGCAAGCUGGAAUGCCAGCGCCCAGCACGAACAUGGGAAUCGCGACCGACAUGAAGUCGACCUGAGACGUCAUCAACGCCCGCAUAACGAAGGAGGCCGCCAGCACUCCCAUGCCGUAGGUCACGAGCAACCGAGGAUCGACCUUGGGCAAAAGACGGCCCACGAGCGGAGAAGUCACUACGGCAAGAAUGCCCAUUGGCGCGGUUGCGAGGCCCGCCCAUGUCGCGGUGUAUCCCAUCCAUUGCUGCAACCAGAGUGGGGUUAGCA